rnacentral:tRNA from 1 species
GGGGCUGUAGCUCAAUGGAAGAGCGCUUGCCUAGCAUGCGUGAGGCACUGGGUUCGAUCCUCAGCACCA